AUGGCAAUGGUGGACGCGGAGGCUCCCUUCCUUACGGAAGACGCGGUCGAUGAGCCACCGCUUGCCGGCGUCUCCGACUUCCGUGGCCGCCCCGUCUACAGCAGCACCUCCGGCGGGUGGCGCUCCGCCCUCUUCGUCGCCGUGAUGGAGGUCGCCAGCGCUUUCGCCUACUACGGCGUGUCGGCGAACCUGAUCACCUACAUGACGGGGCCACUGGGCCACUCCAACGCCGCCGCCGCUGCCGCCGUGAAUGUCUGGUCGGGAACGGCCACCCUGAUGCCGCUGCUGGGCGCCUUCGUCGCCGACUCGUGGCUGGGGCGCUACCGAUCCAUCAUCCUCGCCGGCACUCUCUACGUCCUGGGGUAUGCCAUGAUCACUCUAGCAUCUGUGCUCACGGCACAACAUCCAUCGUUGUCGGGCGACACCUCUUCCCAUCCUUUGUCGCUGCGGGUGGUGUUCUUCUACACCUCCCUGUACCUCAUCGCCAUCGCGCAGGGCGCAGACAAUCCAAAUGCAUUGGCCUUUGCCGCUGACCAGUUCGAUUCCAACCACCCCAGGGAAUGCGCCGCCCGCAGCUCCUUGUUCAACUGGUGGUACUUCUCACUGGCUGUAGGUAUCACUAUUUCUGUUGGUGUAGUCGGCUACAUACAGGAGAACCUUGGCUGGGGAAUUGGGUUUGGCAUGCUCUGCGCCAUCAUGCUCGGUGCCUUAGUUGUCUUCUUCCUUGGCACCCCUACAUACCGCCUCUAUGCACCCACUCCCGGUGCUGAGAACCCCUUUGCCCUCCUUGCUCGUAGCCUUGCCGCGCUAGCCCAACAUGACAAUGCCACUUCGAGCUCAUUGCUUGGUUACAAAAAAGAAUACCAGGUAGAACAAAAAGAGGAUGCGGUAAAAAAGGAGGAGGCGCGUGGCGUGGUACGGUUGCUGUCAAUCUGGGCGGCGUGCCUGGCAUAUGGUGUGGUGUUUGCGCAGUUCAUGACACUCUUUAACAAGCAGGCCCGCACCCUGGACCGCCGCAUCUUUGGCAGUCUGGAGUUACCGCCGGCGGCGCUUCAGAUGUUAGGGCCUGCAACAACUCUGUUGUUCGUCCCCAUAUAUGAUUGUGUGCUGGUGCCGAUGCUGAGGCGCGCGACAGGCACCCCGUCGGGUCUGACGCUACUACAACGUGUUGGCACGGGCAUGACAUUGACCCUGGCUACGAUGUUGGUGGCGGCAUUGGUGGAAACACGACGCCUUGAGACAGCACGCGAGCAUGAGCUGGUGGACAAUGCUGACGCAACAGUGCCAAUGUGCUGGGCAUGGUUGGUGCCACAAUAUGUUUUGAUCGGGGUGGCAGGCGUGUUCGCGGAAGUCGGGAUGCAGGAAUUCUUCUACGACCAGAUGCCCAGUGAGCUACGCAGCUUGGGCAUGGCACUCUACUAUAGCGUGAUCGGCAUGGGCAACUUCAUCAGUGGCGCUCUCAUCUCCCUGAUCGACCGCAUCACCAGCAGCGGUGGUGGCGACAGCUGGUUCGCGGACAAUCUCAACCGUGCUCACCUCGACUACUUCUACUGGCUGCUUGCCGGCCUCAGCGCCACUGAGCUGGCGCUCUUCCUCCGGUGCGCAAGCACCUACGUCUACAGCUACAAGAGGCUCCGCUGA
rnacentral:rRNA from 1 species